rnacentral:tRNA from 1 species
AUUUAAAUAGUUUAUAUAAAAUCUUAAUUUGUGGAAUUAAAGAAAAAAUUAAUUAUAUUUUUUUAAAUA